rnacentral:rRNA from 1 species
UACGUAGGGUGCAAGCGUUAAUCGGAAUUACUGGGCGUAAAGCGUGCGCAGGCGGUUGUUCAAGACAGAUGUGAAAUCCCCGGGCUCAACCUGGGAAUUGCAUUUGUGACUGCACGGCUAGAGUGUGUCAGAGGGGGGUAGAAUUCCACGUGUAGCAGUGAAAUGCGUAGAUAUGUGGAGGAAUACCGAUGGCGAAGGCAGCCCCCUGGGAUAACACUGACGCUCAUGCACGAAAGCGUGGGGAGCAAACAGG